GCUUAACCGGAGAAGUGCAUCGGAAACUGGGAAACUUGAGUGCAGAAGAGGGCAGUGGAACUCCAUGUGUAGCGGUGAAAUGCGUAGAUAUAUGGAAGAACACCAGUGGCGAAGGCGGCUGUCUGGUCUGUAACUGACGCUGAGGCUCGAAAGUAUGGGUAGCAAACAGGAUUAGAUACCCUGGUAGUCCAUACCGUAAACGAUGAAUGCUAAGUGUUGGAGGGUUUCCGCCCUUCAGUGCUGCAGCUAACGCAUUAAGCAUUCCGCCUGGGGAGUACGGUCGCAAGACUGAAACUCAAAGGAAUUGACGGGGGCCCGCACAAGCGGUGGAGCAUGUGGUUUAAUUCGAAGCUACGCGAAGAACCUUACCAGGUCUUGACAUACUAUGCAAAUCUGAGAGAUUAGACGUUCCCUUCGGGGACAUGGAUACAGGUGGUGCAUGGUUGUCGUCAGCUCGUGUCGUGAGAUGUUGGGUUAAGUCCCGCAACGAGCGCAACCCUUAUUAUCAGUUGCCAGCAUUAAGUUGGGCACUCUGGUGAGACUGCCGGUGACAAACCGGAGGAAGGUGGGGAUGACGUCAAAUCAUCAUGCCCCUUAUGACCUGGGGCUACACACGUGCUACAAUGGAUGGUACAACG
rnacentral:rRNA from 1 species